rnacentral:piRNA from 1 species
UCUACACACAGCCUCUUUGUCUCCUCAC